rnacentral:lncRNA from 1 species
CCCGCCGCAAUUUUGCGCCUGUCCCAAGUCAGGAGCCUCUGGCCUUUCUUAGUUUUGUAUAACUUUUAUUUUAACUUCUUGAGUAUAUUUCGAAGCUUAGUAUGACGUCCAUUAUCAUUUCAAACUAGUACAUUUUUGUGUAGGGGCCAGCUGAAGAACGCCUCCAGAUUUGGGAGUUUCUUGCUGCAUUGACGACCCAUUGGUGGUUUUUGGCCGUUGCCUGCUUUUUAGCGCGUUGGUGUCUCUUUGACAAAUCCCUCAUGUCCAUUCCAAAUUUUUAAUUCAAUCUGUAUAUAGUAGAUCUUGUGUCCGCUUUGAGCAAAACCUCUACUGUACUGAUAUAUGCCCAUGCCAAGGAAGUUGUCUUUGUAUGGAUAUGUUGACCGAUAAGAAUGAUGAGAUUACAAGUUUAAAUGAAGCUAUAAUAUUCCGAUAUCGCAAUAUUCCGACACCUAAAUGGUCCAACAUCCCAUUGGUCCGACGUUUCGAUCAUUUAGGUUAUACGCUAACGGGAUUUUAACAUCAGAAAGCCAAAUAAAAGGUUCAAUAUUAGGAUAGCCUUGUCCUCCGU